rnacentral:tRNA from 1 species
GCGGAUUUAGCUCACCCGGUAGGAGCGCAGAAGCAGCGAGUUCGAGUCUCGUAAUCCGCUCCA